rnacentral:rRNA from 1 species
GGGCCCGCACAAGCGGUGGAGCAUGUGGUUUAAUUCGAUGAUACGCGAGGAACCUUACCAGGGCUUAAAUGUAGUGGGACAGGUCUAGAGAUAGACCCUUCUUCGGACUCAUUACAAGGUGCUGCAUGGUUGUCGUCAGCUCGUGCCGUGAGGUGUCAGGUUAAGUCCUAUAACGAGCGCAACCCCUAUCGUUAGUUGCCAGCGAGUAAUGUCGGGAACUCUAACGAAACUGCCAGUGCAAACUGUGAGGAAGGUGGGGAUGACGUCAAAUCAUCACGGCCCUUACGUCCUGGGCUACACACGUGCUACAAUGGCCGGUACAGAGAGCAGCCACUUCGCAAGAAGGAGCGAAUCUAUUAAAACCCUAUCUCAGUUCGGAUCGGAGUCUGCAACUCGACUCCGUGAAGUUGGAAUCGCUAGUAA